UGUACAUGAUGAUUUGCUUUGGUCCGUGUUUAUGAUUAACAUUGAUUUUAAAACAAAGCGUUAACUGAUGAA